rnacentral:miRNA from 1 species
ACGAGAGGGGGAGAGAGAAGUA